GCCACACCUUCUCUUCCAUAUCUUAUCGUAUUUCUUUCCUUCUCUUUCUACAAGCUCUGCCUAACUUUUCUGGUUCAGAUCUCCUCUUAAUGGCUUCUUCUCAAGGAUUGUGGCUUUCGCUGUUGAAUGGAUCGUUUUCCGAUCUAUUUUCAGAUGGUGGUUUCAGGGCUUGACUCAAAUAGGGACGUGUAGAUAUCAGCUUGCAACUUCGAACUGUCCAUUGAAUUGAUCUUCUGACUGGUUCGGGUCAUGAAAAAGCCAUUGAAAGUGUCUAUUCCUUUUUCUUUGGUAGCUGUUGCAGGUGGUGUAAAAGGACCUGUCACCUUAAGGAUCCGCUCGGCCAAGAUCAGUGCGUCUGCCUGUAAUUCAUGUGUGGUUUUUGUAGCAGACGUUUUGAUCAGAUGUUAGGAGGCGGAAAAAUAUAUAUCUCCACAUAUAUAUAUGUUUAUAUUCAUGUCUCUGGAUGUAGAAGAUAUAUCAGGACGAGAAGCCCAUAUAUUGCUUGAUUGAUGGAGGGGGCUUUAAUUCUUUGGUUGAUAUCUUUGUCAUCGGACCUUUUCCAUGGCAGGUGCGCUUGCAUGGCAGGUCACCAAGUACUUAAUAAAAAUUACUCUUUUGUGCUUUUGAGAGGAGAUCGCACAGGGAUUUG